GACGAACGCUGGCGGCGUGCUUAACACAUGCAAGUCGAACGGAAAGGCCUUUUCGGAGGUACUCGAGUGGCGCACGGGUGAGUAACACGUGGGUGAUCUGCCCUGCACUCUGGGAUAAGCCUGGGAAACUGGGUCUAAUACCGGAUAGGACCGCACUUUAGUGUGUGUGGUGGAGAGUUUUUUCGGUGUAGGAUGAGCCCGCGGCCUAUCAGCUUGUUGGUGGGGUAAUGGCCUACCAAGGCGGCGACGGGUAGCCGGACUGAGAGGUUGGUCGGCCACAUUGGGACUGAGAUACGGCCCAGACUCCUACGGGAGGCAGCAGUGGGGAAUAUUGCACAAUGGGCGCAAGCCUGAUGCAGCGACGCCGCGUGGGGGAUGACGGCCUUCGGGUUGUAAACUCCUUUCGCCAGGGACGAAGCGUUUUGUGACGGUACCUGGAGAAGAAGCACCGGCUAACUACGUG
rnacentral:rRNA from 1 species